GCCUGACUUUAUUACUUUAACAAACAAUGCAAACAUUCCAACCUUGGUGCUUUACCAACAGUAUGAAGCUACUGCUUUCCUGAACAAAUAAAUAACUGCAAAAACCAAAAUAUGAAAGCUCUCAUUUAAAUAGAUGGAACCCAAGACAGGAAAGUAAAAAAAAAAAUAUAUAGGUCGAAUUUUUUAAAACAUUAUUGGAAGAGAGUAACUAUCAAAACGAUCGAUAAAACAAGGAAAAGACACGUGGUAUCUUUAGAGAACUUUUAACUGUCCUCAGCCUCAAGAUUUAUGUUAUUUCCAAACUUUGCAUACAGCUGAACUUUCAGGUCAGAUAACACUCUCUGAAUUGAUUCCACUCGGGAUUCUAACGUUUCAAUUUCUUCUUGUAAACUUUUCUUUGCCUCCUCCAGCAUCUCUUGCGUCUCUUCUUGGGAAUGGCUAAUGAAGACAUCUCCAAUUUGGUAGGGUAUCAAAAGCGAAUCAUCGUCGAGCAUCAUGAUGUCAUCGCAGGCAUCUUCCAAAUUCUGAAGCUGUUUCUUUUUCACUUCUAUUUCUUCUUUCAGCUCCGUGAUCCUGCUGGUAUUUCUUGCAAACUUGUUAAUUUUCUGCUGAUCUUCAAAAGUGACGUUGACGUCUUCGGCAGCCGCUUUCUUCAUGGUGGCGGCCAUGUUGGCAGGGCCGAACUAUUCGCCCUCCCCGCAGAGGAGGAGGCCCGCGUGGAGAACGCGAAGAAAAACGGUGACAGCGCGCAGCGGCGACCACGCGAGGCGGCUCGAGGCUUCCGUUGAUCCUCCAUCACCACCUGCAGAGAGGCCAUCUGCCCAGGGUGAGCCGCGCCGAUACCAAA
rnacentral:lncRNA from 1 species